GCCUUCAUGGUGUAAUGGUCAGCACACUGAGCCGGUAUUUCAGAGGUCCGUGGUUCGAUCCCCGGCGAAGGAA
rfam:Stegodyphus mimosarum contig1166, whole genome shotgun sequence.